AGCGAACGCUGGCGGCAGGCCUAACACAUGCAAGUCGAACGGAUCCUUCGGGAUUAGUGGCGGACGGGUGAGUAACACGUGGGAACGUGCCCUUUGGUUCGGAACAACUCAGGGAAACUUGAGCUAAUACCGGAUGUGCCCUUCGGGGAAAGAUUUAUCGCCAUUGGAGCGGCCCGCGUCUGAUUAGCUAGUUGGUGAGGUAAAGGCUCACCAAGGCGACGAUCAGUAGCUGGUCUGAGAGGAUGAUCAGCCACAUUGGGACUGAGACACGGCCCAAACUCCUACGGGAGGCAGCAGUGGGGAAUCUUGCGCAAUGGGCGAAAGCCUGACGCAGCCAUGCCGCGUGAAUGAUGAAGGUCUUAGGAUUGUAAAAUUCUUUCACCGGGGACGAUAAUGACGGUACCCGGAGAAGAAGACCCCGGCUAACUUCGUGCCAGCAGCC
rnacentral:rRNA from 1 species